UCUACGGGAGGCAGCAGUGGGGAAUUUUGCGCAAUGGGCGAAAGCCUGACGCAGCAACGCCGCGUGGAGGAUGAAGGCCUUCGGGUCGUAAACUCCUGUCAGUGGGGACGAAUGCUUCGCAAGAGGUUUGACUGUACCCGCUGAGGAAGCCACGGCUAACUCCGUGCCAGCAGCCGCGGUAAUACGGAGGUGGCAAGCGUUGUUCGGAAUUACUGGGCGUAAAGGGCGCGUAGGCGGCUUUGCAAGUCAGAUGUGAAAGCCCCGGGCUUAACUCGGGAAUUGCAUCUGAAACUGCUUUGCUUGAGUCCUGGGGGGGAUAGUGGAAUUCCCAGUGUAGCGGUGAAAUGCGUAGAUAUUGGGAGGAACACCUGCGGCGAAGGCGGCUAUCUGGACAGUGACUGACGCUGAGGCGCGAAAGCUAGGGGAGCGAACGGGAUUAGAUACCCCGGUAGUCCUAGCCGUAAACGAUGGGCACUUGGUGUUGGGGGUAUUGAGUCCCUCGGUGCCGGAGUUAACACGUUAAGUGCCCCGCCUGGGGAGUACGGCCGCAAGGCUAAAACUUAAAGGAAUUGACGGA
rnacentral:rRNA from 1 species